rnacentral:lncRNA from 1 species
GUGGAGUAAUACAACAAGGAGGAGAAGAGCUCCAAGGGGAGGAAACAUAAGUGAGAGAUUAAGUGACAUGUUUUGGAAACAUUGAAUGGUUGGGCCUGGGUGAUUAUAGAGCACCAUUACAGGCCAGGAUGCCAGGCCAGCAGAGAGCUGACCCUGAAGGGCUCUGGAAGCCUUGAUGCGAAAGAAGUUGCAUGCUGAUCUGAAGGUUAUAAGAAGCCAGUGAAGAAUUUCAUCUGGAGGAGUAAGAUGAUCUUAUUUAUUUUAAAAGAUCACACUGCCCUUGAAGUGGACGGUGGACCAACUAUAGCGAGAUUUGGAGAUUAAGAAGCAAAGGAGAUAAACAUGAAUCUCUUCCAGAAGACCCAGGAAAAAUACCAUUGCGACCUGAUGGCUCUGAUUGGGUCACAUAUUCAAGCAUGUAAAGUGUCCAGGACUUCUGUGUGUCCAGAACUCCCUUCUGCAGCAUGUGACAAAAACUGCCCUCCAACUUUGCUGACUUUGUCAGGGUAAAUACAAAGAACGGUUUCAAGAGGAUGUGAUCUUUCUCCAGGACAAUGCUUCCCAAACUUGUGUUCCUCCAAACCAGUCCCGCAAAGUGUUUUGAAAGACAAAUGGAAAAGUUUCCUCUGGCUGAAAAAAGUUUAGGAAAAAUUGGAUUAAAUAAAAUUUCUCAGUGUUUUUUACUUCUGGAUUGCUCAACAACUUAUAUAUGCAAAUGUAUCUUAGGCAUUUCCAAAAGUGGGCUGUAUUACGAUGCUGCAUUUCUCAAAGAGAAUUGGCCUUGAGAACCCUCUUUUACGGAGCCUAUGUCACCAUCUCGUGGAACUGGGGCUCUGCAGGACACACGUAGGGGAUGCUGCUGGGGGGCAUCAUCCAACAAACUUCUGAUUUGGGUUCUUUCUGUUGCCUCAUUUUUCUUUUUUUGCAUUUCCCACUUACUUUUUCAUGGCAAACUAUUAGUAGAAGAACCCUGCCAGGUGGUAGUUUAUCUGUUUAAAAAUUUUCCAUGUAAUUUGAGUAAAAGUGUCAUGGAUUUUUUUUAAAGAUUGUUUUUCCAUUAUAAAACAAUAUAUGCUGAUCACAGAAAAGAUUCUAAUGUGAGAAUAGUAUAGACGAUUAUGAACAUACAUAAUCUCACACCUACAGAAAACGUUUGCAUUUUAGUUUAAUUUCUUCUAUUUUUAAAAAUUCCUAUCUGAUGUUGUAAAAGUCAUAAUUAUAAUCAUGCUAUAUAAUAAUUUUGUAUCUUUAUUUCAACUUUACAUCAUAUUAUUAUCAGAUUUUAGUUAGAUUACAAACUCUGUGCAAACUUGAUAGAAUAAGAUCCAAAUUAUUUACUUAAGCCCAUCGGGCCCUCAAUGUCUUGUCUCCUGUUUGCAGCUCCGGUGGAGGAUCCUAACCUUCUUCUUUUUAAUGACCCUUUGGGCCCACC